rnacentral:tRNA from 1 species
GGUUCCGUGGUGUAAUGGUGAACACUCUGGACUCUGAAUCCAGUGAUCCUAAUUCCAGUCUUGGUGGAAACU